rnacentral:rRNA from 1 species
CAGCAGUAGCCGCGGUAAUACGUAGGUGGCAAGCGUUGUCCGGAAUUAUUGGGCGUAAAGGGCUCGCAGGCGGUUUCUUAAGUCUGAUGUGAAAGCCCCCGGCUCAACCGGGGAGGGUCAUUGGAAACUGGGAAACUUGAGCGCAGAAGAGGAGAGUGGAAUUCCACGUGUAGCGGUGAAAUGCGUAGAGAUGUGGAGGAACACCAGUGGCGAAGGCGACUCUCUGGUCUGUAACUGACGCUGAGGAGCGAAAGCGUGGGGAGCGAACAGGAUUAGAUACCCCCGUAGUCCCUGUCUCUUAUAA